rnacentral:rRNA from 1 species
UACGGAGGGUGCAAGCGUUAUCCGGAUUUACUGGGUUUAAAGGGUGCGCAGGCGGAUAUGUAAGUCAGUGGUGAAAUCUCCGGGCUUAACCCGGAAACUGCCGUUGAUACUAUAUAUCUUGAAUGCUGUGGAGGUAAGCAGAAUAUGUCAUGUAGCGGUGAAAUGCUUAGAGAUGACAUAGAAUACCUAUUGCGAAGGCAGCUUACUACGCAGAUAUUGACGCUCAUGCACGAAAGCGUGGGAUCAAACAGG